rnacentral:rRNA from 1 species
ACGCUGGCGGCACGCCUAAUACAUGCAAGUCGAACGCAGUAGCAAUACUGAGUGGCAGACGGGUGAGUAUAAUGUGGGAAUAUGCCUUUUGGUUUGGAAUAACUCGGGGAAACUUGAGCUAAUACCGAAUAAGCCCUUACGGGGAAAGAUUUAUCGCCGAAAGAUUAGCCCGCACUUGAUUAGCUUGUUGGUGAGGUAAGAGCUCACCAAGGCAACGAUCAAUAGCUGUUCUUAGAGGAAGACCAGCCACAUUGGGACUGAGACACGGCCCAGACUCCUACGGGAGGCAGCAGUAGGGAAUCUUGCACAAUGGGGGAAACCCUGAUGCAGCGAUGCCGCGUGAGUGAAGAAGGCCUUUGGGUUGUAAAACUCUUUCGUCGGGGAAGAAAAUGACUGUACCCGAAUAAGAAGGUCCGGCUAACUUCGUGCCAGCAGCCGCGGUAAUACGAAGGGAUCUAGCGUAGUUCGGAAUUACUGGGCUUAAAGAGCUCGUAGGUGGUUAAAGAAGUUGGUGGUGAAAUCCCAAGGCUUAACCUUGGAACUGCCAUCAAAACUUUUUAGCUUGAGUGUGAUAGAGGAAAGUGGAAUUUCUAGUGUAGAGGUGAAAUUCGUAGAUAUUAGAAAGAACACCAAAAGCGAAGGCAACUUUCUGGAUCACUACUGACACUGAGGAGCGAAAGCAUGGGUAGCGAAGAGGAUUAGAUACCCUCGUAGUCCAUGCUGUAAACGAUGUGUGCUAGACGUUGGAAAUUUAAUUUUCAGUGUCGCAGCAAAAGCGUUAAGCACACCGCCUGGGGAG